rnacentral:lncRNA from 1 species
AUUUCCAGAGCCACCUGCUCUGGGGACUGAGGCGGAGAUGCAUAGAGGGCCUUGCCAUCUGCUUGCACCCCAAGUAGGGCGGGGGCUGAGAAGUGCCAUCCAUGGUUGCUAGCCAGGGUGCUUUAGUGGCCUGGGCUACAGCUCAGAGACCAACGUCUAACCUGGAAUGCCAGGCUGGGAAGGAGGACACAGUCCAGGAACCUGAGGGAAUGCCAAGGAGAAGAGGCCUGGGGCUGAGUCCUGGACCUCACCAGACAUAGGCACUGGAUGCAGAAAGACAAGCCCGCUAAGGAUGUUGAUGAAGGCCCACAAGGGGGUACUAGUGGAGCAGGAGAAGGUACCAAGGAGACUUCCGCCAUCUCGUUGAAUCUGCCUGGCAACACUCACUGCCUCCGAUUUACAGAUGAGAAAACUGAGGCCCGGGGAGAGGAGGCCACAUGGCUGGAGUGUUGCGACAAGUGAGUGGGGACACAGGACCCAGUCCAGGAAAAUAACAGAUGCUGGUGAGGUUGCAGAGAAAAGUGAAUGCUUAUACACUGCUGGUGAGAAUGUAAACUAGUUCAGCCACUGUGGAGAGCAGUUUGGAGAUUUCUCAAAGAACUUAUAAUAGAAAUAAUAUCUGACCUAGCAAUCCCAUUACUGGGUAUAUACCCAAAGGAAUAAAAUCAUUCUACCAUAAAGACACAUACAUGUUCAUCAUAGCACUAUUCACAAUAGCAAAGACCUGGAAUCAACCUCAAUGCCCAUCAAUAGUGGACUAGAUAAAGAAAAAUGUGGUAAAUGUACACCAUGGAAUACUAUGCAGCCAUAAAAAAGGACAAUAUCUUGUCCGUUGCAGCAACAUACAUGGGGCUGGAGGCCAUUAUCCUAAGUGAAUUAAUGCAUGAGCAGAAAACCGAAUACUGCAUUUUCUCACUUAUAAGUGGGAGCUAAACACUGAGUACACAUGGACACAAAGAAGGGAGCAAUAACAUAGAGGCCUACUUGAGGGUGGAGGGUGGGAAGAGGGUGAUGAUGGAAAAACUACCUAUCAGGUACUAUGCUUAUUACCUGGGUAAUAAA